rnacentral:rRNA from 1 species
CCCUUAGAUGUUCUGGGCUGCACGCGCGCUACACUGAUACCUUCAGCGAGUCCACCACCUUGCCUGGGAGGGUGGGGUAACCUCUGGAAAGUGCAUCGUGAUGGGGAUCGAUUAUUGUAAUUAUUAAUCUUCAACGAGGAAUUCCUAGUAAGCACUAGUCAUCAGCUAAUGUUGAUUAUGUCCCUGCCCUUUGUACACACCGCCCGUCGCUACUACUGAUUGGGUGUUCAAGUGAGAUGCUUAGACCCUUGUUGCAUGGUUCAUUAUUGUGCUCCGAAAGGAAAAAGUUUCAAGCUUGAGUGUCUAGAGGAAGUAAAAGUCGUAACA